UCUCCGUAGGUGAACCUGCGGAGGGAUCAUUACAAGUGACCCCGGUCUUACCACCGGGAUGUUCAUAACCCUUUGUUGUCCGACUCUGUUGCCUCCGGGGCGACCCUGCCUUCGGGCGGGGGCCCCGGGUGGACACUUCAAACUCUUGCGUAACUUUGCAGUCUGAGUAAACUUAAUUAAUAAAUUAAAACUUUUAACAACGGAUCUCUUGGUUCUG
rnacentral:misc_RNA from 1 species